rnacentral:rRNA from 1 species
UACAGAGGGUGCGAGCGUUGUUCGGAAUUAUUGGGCGUAAAGGGCGCGUAGGCGGCGCCACAAGUCACCUGUGAAAACUCUGGGCUCAACCCAGAGCCUGCAGGCGAAACUGUGGUGCUGGAGUAUGGGAGAGGUGCGUGGAAUUCCCGGUGUAGCGGUGAAAUGCGUAGAUAUCAGGAGGAACACCUGUGGCGAAAGCGGCUCACUGGACCACAACUGACGCUGAAGCACGAAAGCUAGGGGAGCAAACAGG